AUUGAACGCUAGCGGGAUGCUUUACACAUGCAAGUCGAACGGAGUGGCGGACGGGUGAGUAAUAUAUCGGAACGUGCCCAGUAGCGGGGGAUAAAUACUCGAAAGAGUGGCUAAUCACGCAUACUAUUGGAGCUGCCGAUAUCGGAUUAGCUAGUUGGUGGGGUAAAGGCUCACAAAGGCAACGAUCCUUAGCUGGUUGGAGAGGACGACCAGCCACACUGGUACUGAGACACGGCCAAGACUCCUACGGGAGGCAGCAGUGGGGAAUUUUGGACAAUGGGGGAAACCCUGAUUCAGCCAUCCCGCGUGUAUGAUGAAGGCCUUCGGGUUGUAAAGUACUUUUGGCAGGGAAGCGGUAUCUGCAGAAUAAGCACCGGCUAACUACGUGCCAGCCGCCGCGGUAAUAC
rnacentral:rRNA from 1 species